rnacentral:tRNA from 1 species
AAAAAAUUAGUUAAUUAAUAACAUUAAUUUGUCAAAUUAAAGUAAAUAUUAAAUAUUAUUUUUUU